AUCGAACGCUGGCGGCAGGCUUAACACAUGCAAGUCGAGCGAGCGGCGGACGGGUGGGUAAUGUAUGGGGACUGCCCGAUAGAGGGGGCUAACUACUGGAAACGGUGGCUAAUACCGCAUCCUAUCGGAUAACCCAUAUGGGAUUAGCUGGUAGGUGGGGUAAAGGCUCACCUGGGCCACGAUCCCUAGCUGGUCUGAGAGGAUGCUAGGCCACACUGGGACUGAGACACGUACCAGACUCCUACGGAGGCAGCAGUGUGGAAUAUUGGGCAAUGGGCGAAAGCCUGAUGCAGCCAUGCCGCGUGUGUGAAGAAGACGUUAGGGUUGUAAAGUACUGUCAGCGGGGAGGCGUUACCGGCAGAAGAAGCACCGGCUAACUCCGUGCCAGCAGCCGCGGUAAUAC
rnacentral:rRNA from 1 species